rnacentral:lncRNA from 10 species
CUUGAAACCAGAAGGCAGGUUGCAGUGAGCCAAGAUCACGCCACUGCACUCCAGCCUGGGCAACAAGAGGAAGACUCUGUCUCAAAAAAAAAAAAAAAGAGUUUAAUGAUGAGAGGCCAUGCAGAAGAUGAACUCUAAGCCUUACUCCUUUUUACUUAUUUUGUUUAUUACGUUUCCUCACCAUUAGAAUGUAAGCUCUAUGAGGGCAAAGAUUUUUGUUUAUUUACUGCUGUAACCCAAAACCUAGAACAAUGACUGCCACAUAGUAGGUAUUCAGUAAAUACUUAUUGAGUGAUUAAGGUUUUAGAUUAGACAUGUAAUCUGAAAUACCGUGUCUUGACUGAAUCAGAGCAUCUCUGUAAUAGUAUUAUUAGAAUGACAAGUAUAAACAGAAUUGUUUCUAGAAGGAGAGGGAUAAAUUUGAAGUAACAUAUUUACUAUGACAUCUCCCAUCUGCCUGUCUGAAACCUUGCUUUUUUGUCAGAUUUUCUCUACAAACUCCUGCUUGAUUUAGCCAGGUGCAAAAAGAUGUCUUUACCAGCUAGAUGUGCUGCGAACAAUCACUUGUCUUGGAAGCCUCGCAGCAGGGGCCUGCUGGGGGCCUGUCCAUGCUUCAUCCCUCUGGAGCCUUAGACCAACUUCCACAAGAGCCAGUACUGCUGCGUUGUGAGUCAGUGUGGGGAUUUUUUCUGUUGACAGUAAUUGAAUUAUAAAGCAUUUCCUCCUGGAAGGUAUCUGGGUGAUUGAAUGUCUCAGAGAAUUCCUUUCCAUCUGACCAAGGGGGCCACACUUCUUUUCUCUCCUCCCUCCUUGAGCAUAUUUUAAGUGUUUCUGUUUGUUCCAUCUCAACGUUUGCUUUUGGUUCCUGUCUUUGCUUGAGGUUCAAGUCUUAUUUCCCCUCAGGAUGGGCUUUCUAGGGUUCUGGGACCACUCUGUUGUGAUACCCUGAUUUUUCUCCUAAGAAUCCCAGAUUUAGCUUCACACACGUGGCAGGGCCUUUUAAACCCCGUCCGAAGGAGCCUGGACCGGUUGCUCUGAGAGAGGUCCAUUCUGCCCGCUUCCCAGCUCUGCAGCCUUCGGGUUGAGAGGGAGGUGCAGGUGAGUGUGGGCAGGGACCUCCAUGAGCCACGUUUGGCCUGGCACCAGCAUAUCCUGGAUCCUGUUCUUCGCCGUUCCCUUCCCUGUCCUCCUCUGCACGGAGGACAGGGUUUUGCUCCUGGAGCCCUAGGCCGUGUUGGCACAUUUCUCCAGUACCAGGCCCAUACUUCCUUAGAACAAUCAUUCUCAAACUUGUUCACCAGAACAGCCUGAAGUCACCUGCGAAAACACAGAUUACUGGGUCCCACCCCAGAGUUUCUCAUUCAUGAGGUCUGGGGGUGGGCCUGAAAAACUGCAUUUCUAACACAUUCCCAAGUGAGGCUGGGCCCCACCUUGAGAACCACUGGCUUGAGCGUGAGGGCUGACACAGCCCUGCCCAAAGCCACCCCCCAGCUGCCACCAGAGGGCACAUGCAACCUGAGCCAGAGGUCUUGUUUCACCUCCAGCUGCCAGCUCCCCGCCUGCCACCCAGCAGAGGUUCUUUCCAAAAGAUUUCUUUCUAGUUGUAAUUUUUGUUAUUAUGUAUUAGGAAGAAAUGCAGAUCUAAAAAAUAAGGUGGGUUCUCAGAGUCUGUCUCUGACAAAUAUUAAAGGUCAGAUGGAUCAGCCUUUUGAAAGUGUUGAAUGUCCUGACUUUUAAGAAAUGGAACAGGCUGGGUAGGGUGGCUCACGCCUGUAAUCCCAGCACUCUGGGAGGCUGAGGUGGACCAAUCGCUUGAGCUCAGGAGUUCGAGAAGUGGGGCAGUGGGUCUCAACCCUGGCUGCUCAUUAGAGUCACCUGGGGAGCUCUUAAAAAUGCCCAUGGCCAGGGCCCACCCUGAGAGCGCCUGAUUUAACUGGGCUGGGGAGGAACCCGGGCUUUGUUUGUUUGAAUUCCCCAGAGGUUUCUAAUAUGCAGUCAGGGUUGAGAAACUGGGAACUAGAGGGGAGUAAGAGGAAGCCUCCAUCCUGCUGGGGCCUGGGACCUCAGAGGAUGCAUGCAGGUGUCUGGGGGCUGGGGCUGGGGCUAGGACUUCAAAUGUUUUUAGCUGGCCAAGUGGAGAUAUGAGCAAAGUUGGUCUCUGCUGUCUUCCCACCUCCCCUGUGGAGACCCUCGUGUCUCUUCUUCUGGCCCCUGGGCUUCCUUCCAGGCCCUUGUCCUGGAUUCCCCUUGUCAACCACAUUUAUCGCACUGUCUGCAAAUAUAAAUUGUUAGCCCUCUCGUUUCCAAAAAGGAAUUCUGCUAGCAUCACCCCAAUUUGUGGUUACUAUGUGUCAGCUUAUGAGGGUUUUUUAAAUUAUUAUUAUUGCAAGCCACAGAAGCUGACUGCGGCCAGUAUAAGCCCAAAGAGGAACUGAAUGAAAAGAGACGGGGCAUGCACAUAUGGGGCUGUCGAGAGGGCUGAAGAGGCCAUAUGGGAAAGACAGGAGCCAGCCAGCAUGGGCAGUUUGGAGGCAGGAGCUGCUCAGCAGGGCCCGUGGCUGAGUGAGUCCAUGUCCCAGCUUCUCAAGUCAAAGUCGGGGGAUGGUGGUAGAUGUGUGCUACUGCUCCCAAUUAUCCACUCCAUCCCUGCAGCGAGGUUGAUCCAUCCCACUCUACUCAGCGUCCAAGUUGGCCAUAUAACUUGCAUUGGUCAAUGGAAUGUGAGUGGGCAUCACGUGUGCCAGGUGUGGGCAGCCUGAAAUGCACCUGAGUGCUUUACAUCAGCCUCUUGCUCCUCUCUGCGGGAGAACAGCAUCUCCCAGAGAGGGGCCACAGCUGGGUGAGAGGUGAGCCAUGUCAAAGCCCGCCCUCAGACGUGGGAGCAAAAAAUAUGUGUUACUGGUCUUAAGUCACUGAGAUUCGGGGGCUGUUUGUUACCAGAGCAAAAACUGAUAUAGACAAAGAGUCCAAACUUGAGUCAUAUGUCCUCCCCUUGGCUGAAUCUUGGGCUGGAGAACACUAGCUGAGGGAAGGAGAUUCAGGGCCCUUUUGCGGUCUGAAUGUUUGUGUACCCUUAAAAUCCUUAUGUUGAAAUCCUCACCUGCAAGGCCUUUUGGGGGGUGAUUAGGUCAUGAGGGUGGCUCUAUGAAAGAGGCCCAGGAGGAAAAAGGAAAGAUGGCCGAAUAGGAACAGCUCCGGUCUACAGCUCCCAGCG